CCAACAUCACAAUGAGGAAACAAUCACACAUAUUCAAAAUGUUGGACAUUCUCCAAGAUAACCAGGGUGGAAUAAUCAAUGUCAUUUGAAAAAAUGAGCAGACUAUUUCAUAUCAGAAAAAGACUAUGAAAGAAUAAAGGAAUGUCAUAGCUGUGGUGCUGAGAACAUAACCUACUCCCAUUGGUUUCCAACAACUGAGACCUUGAACAGUGACUUCUUAGCUGUAAAUCCCAGAAUCUUCUGUUUCAAAUCAAUUCUUCAGGAAAAAGAGGACAAAAUAUAAACCCAAGUGGAGAGAGUACUAAAAGACACAAGAUUUUUUUUUAGAGAAUUUAUCAAUCUAAUAUGAGCAAUUAAUUAUUUAUGAUGGUUCCUAUGUUUCACA
rnacentral:lncRNA from 10 species